AAAAAAGCAGGGGUCUGUUUGACCUUGUGGACUGGCCUCUCGUAACCUUCAGGGAUAUAAUUUCCAUUGUUAUUGGGUGAACCUCUGUUCUUUGUUUCUGACGGAAGGUUCAGUAAAUGAUGGAACAAGC